AGCUGCGUGGUGAGCACAGAGCGAACUAUUCUUUCGCCUUUUACUAAAGAAUACCGUGUGCACGCCAUACUAAGCAGCAUACGCUGAUUUUUGGAGGGCGCUUUCUUUUUUUGAGAAGGC
rfam:Brachypodium distachyon strain Bd21 chromosome 1, whole genome shotgun sequence.